UACGUAGGGUGCAAGCGUUAAUCGGAAUUACUGGGCGUAAAGCGUGCGCAGGCGGUCUUGCAAGACAGAUGUGAAAUCCCCGGGCUCAACCUGGGAACUGCGUGUGAUACUGGCGGGCUUGAAUUCGGGAGAGGGAUGUGGAAUUCCAGGUGUAGCGGUGAAAUGCGUAGAUAUCUGGAGGAACACCGGUGGCGAAGGCGGCAUCCUGGACCGAGAUUGACGCUGAGGCGCGAAAGCUAGGGGAGCAAACGGG
rnacentral:rRNA from 1 species